rnacentral:rRNA from 1 species
GGUGAGUAAUAUAUCGGAACGUGCCAGGUCGUGGGGGAUAACGUAGCGAAAGUUACGCUAAUACCGCAUACGAUCUAAGGAUGAAANCGGGGGACUCGCAAGAGCCUCGCGCGAUUGGAGCGGCCGAUAUCAGAUUAGGUAGUUGGUGAGGUAAAGGCUCACCAAGCCGACGAUCUGUAGCUGGUCUGAGAGGACGACCAGCCACACUGGGACUGAGACACGGCCCAGACUCCUACGGGAGGCAGCAGUGGGGAAUUUUGGACAAUGGGCGCAAGCCUGAUCCAGCAAUGCCGCGUACAGGAUGAAGGCCUUCGGGUUGUAAACUGCUUUUGUACGGAACGAAACGGUGAGCUCUAAUACAGUUUGCUAAUGACGGUACCGUAAGAAUAAGCACCGGCUAACUACGUG